GGAUAGAAAUUUUUAAUUCAAGAUUAGAGUUGUUUGUCAUAUUUUAAAUUGUUAAAAUAUUUUUUUCAAGAAAACUUCAACUAAUUUAGAAUAUUCUACAUUUUUAAAUGAGAAAACACUCUGUACAGGACGUUUAAAAUUAUCACUUUUGAAUACGCUUGACCGCUAGGUAAAUAAUAUCGAAAAAUUCCAAAAUUUGACAAGUAAAAAUAUUUAAAUGUUCCAAAUCUUAUUUAACCGUAUCAACCACGAAAACAAAUCUUCAAACAUCAAAUCAACUUUUAUAGCAUGAAGAGUCUACUGCUAUUAAUAGCAUUCCAGCCUAACUCUGUACUCUAAUAAUUCAAACAUAAUAUUUAUUUAAAAGAUAUACCAAAUAAAAUACUCGCGCAUUAAACAAAGGCUACAAUA
rnacentral:lncRNA from 1 species